rnacentral:rRNA from 1 species
CCUACGGGUGGCAGCAGUGGGGAAUCUUGCGCAAUGCGCGAAAGCGUGACGCAGCAACGCCGCGUGGGGGAAGACGGCCUUCGGGUUGUAAACCCCUUUCAGUUGGGACGAAGCUUCGCCGGUGAAUAGCCGUGUGGAGUGACGGUACCUUCAGAAGAAGCCCCGGCUAACUACGUGCCAGCAGCCGCGGUAAUACGUAGGGGGCAAGCGUUGUCCGGAAUCAUUGGGCGUAAAGAGCGUGUAGGCGGCUCGGUAAGUCCGCUGUGAAAGUCCAGGGCUCAACCCUGGAAUGCCGGUGGAAACUGUCGGGCUAGAGUCCGGAAGAGGCGAGUGGAAUUCCUGGUGUAGCGGUGAAAUGCGCAGAUAUCAGGAGGAACACCAAUGGCGAAGGCAGCUCGCUGGGACGUUACUGACGCUGAGACGCGAAAGCGUGGGGAGCGAACAGGAUUAGAUACCCUUGUAGUC